CCAAUGACGGAUCUGAAAGAAGCGCUAGGCGAAGAUGCUAUCUAAACGCAAGUGAACCUUUGUGAGGCCGUUAGCAGGAUGAGGUGGCUCGGAUCACCAAAGUCCAAUAUCCUUCACGUAAACGCGAAGCGGUAUAGAAGGUAGAUGAGUAUCGGACAUAGACGGC
rfam:Candidatus Thiomargarita nelsonii contig_2109, whole genome shotgun sequence.